GAUAUUACACCUGAGUGGAAUCAUAUAAUACUUCUUCUUAAGUGUUGGUUUUAUUUCACUUAGCAUAAUGUUUUCAAGGUUCAUCCAUGUUAUAGAAUUCAUAAGAAUCACA